GGGAGGGACCGCGGCCAGCGGGAUUGCUUGUUAUUUCCUCCCUUAAACGUCUUUCUGGGCCAUGAAAUACCCCCACUUGCCAACGCCGCAUAGGCCCUGAGGUCAGUCCUUCCGAGGGCCUGAGCGACUUCAUAGGCCUCCACUCCGCUAGGAGGACGGAGAAGAUGUGGUGUUAUUCAGGGUGCUCGGACCUGGGAGCGUCCAGACCCUUGAAGAGACCCAUCCCAUCCUGAGACCAAGGCUAAGACACAGACCCUAGGGCGCCCCGGCCUUCUGCACAUCAGGGAUGCUGCACGCUCGAAUGUAAAAUGUCACACGGUUGCUCUUGCCACUUCCUGGAAAUGCUUCUUACUUUUACAGCAUUGGACUUUUUAAUACUUUUAAUUAACUGGGAUUCUUUUCUCACGUUUCAUGAGACGCAUGAAUGUACUGUGCGGUCUGACCGUGAGGGCCUUACAGAAGCACCCUGUGGGUACCUGCCUCCCUCCCGCUUCUCCACUGGGUUUACCCUCAUGCAUCUUCCAUCCAAGCAAACUGCUCUCCAGCCUGCAUACCCCACUGGCUCCGAGAACAAAGCUAAACUUCUAUUAUUUCUGAAACUCUUCAGAUGUUUGUGAAUGGAAACACAGCCGGGCCCCAGACACCAGCUGACCCAGUUCCCAAACAAAGGCUCUACUGUCAGCAGGUCACAGAACAGCAAGCCCAUGCCCGAUCCUCGGGUCCAGACCUCAGCGAAUGGCACCAAGAGCAUAAACCCACCCCUGCCGGCCCCUCACACAGCUGCACCCCGUCAGGCCUAGCAGGGACCGGCUGAAGCCCCACCCUGACAUUCAAGGUUCGGCACUGAGCGCUCUCAGGCUGUGUCUCCCGGGUCACCCUUCCCACAGUCAACAGGGCCAUCAGUCUGCAAGCUGGCUGGCCCUGCCCACCCCGCCACCAGCACACACAAGGCCCAGGAGCUCCAUACACAAGGAAGGACCCAUCGCCCACCUCGAGAGCCUACUUUUGCCACCACAAAACUUUGAACUCUGCUCCUACUAUUCCCCCCGCCUGGAAACCAUCCCUACUACGUAAAGGAAAUAUCACCAGAAGACACUGCCACAGGACGGUGGGCAGUCAGCUUGGGUCGUUAUUACUGUUCCGACUUCUAAACCACAACACUCACCUCGAGUCCCACCUCUUCCAUGAAGCCAUCGCUCGGCCCGCCUCGCGCCUUGUGCCACUGACCUCCCUAGCCUGUGCUGGGCAAGGAGAGAGGGCCGUGCCAGGCACCUCAGGGCUGCAGCAGAACCCAGAGAGCCUUUUCUUCCCUGCUCCCUGGGGCACAGGCUGUCCGGGGAAACACAUGCACAUCUGAUUCUAGCCCAUCUUCCUUCCCUGCCAGUUGGGAAGCUCUCAGAUUUACCCAUGGCUGAGUUCCUGAGACGGCAGCCAGCCCUCUCCCCCAGAUCUACCACCAGGCCAGGCCCACUAGUGGCAGGUCUUCACUAAACACCAGCUCUCCAGAGCCCACAUUCUGUAGUCUACAUCCGCCACGAUGCUACCCAUACACACGCACAGGCCAGAGUCCGCCUC